CCUACGGGAGGCAGCAGUGAGGAAUCUUGGUCAAUGGCCGGGCGGCUGAACCAGCCAAGUCUCGUGAGGGAAGACGGCCCUACGGGUUGUAAACCUCUUUUGUCCGGGAGCCAGGUGCCGGUUGGGACCUGCUGUGAGAGUACCUGAAGAACAAGCAUCGGCUAACUCCGUGCCAGCAGCCGCGGUAAUACGGAGGAUGCGAGCGUUAUCCGGAUUUAUUGGGUUUAAAGGGUGCGCCGGCGGAGGCACCAGUCAGCGGUAAAAUCGCGGGGCUCAACUCCGCUCCGCCGUUGAAACUGUGUCCCUUGAGUGCGCGAAGGGUAGGCGGAAUGCGGGGUGUAGCGGUGAAUGCAUAGAUAUCACGCAGAACUCCGAUCGAGAAGGCAGCCUACCGGCGCGCAACUGACGCUCAUGCACGAAAGCGUGGGUAUCGAACAGGAUUAGAUACCCGGGUAGUC
rnacentral:rRNA from 1 species